UGCACUUUGAUGGCCUCUUGUCCAUCAAGCCAACAGCUCCCUGUCAGCUGGGCCCUUUUUCUUCUCCACUUUGGGAGAAGAGGGGAAAUAGAGAUCAGUAAGGAGAUAGAAGGCACUUCCAUCUUUUUGAAGUUUAAAUUCAACCCUUCUUAAAUUCAAUCUGCUGGAGUCCGUGAGGAGGGAGGAGGGUGCAAGGAGCAGCACAGGAUCAGAGCCCAUGGAGGCUGCAGCAGAGGAGGGUGUGCAGGAGCCAAAGGGCAGCUGAGGCCAUUCCCCAGGGAAUGCCAGAUCCUGACGUCUGUGCCCACUUAGGGAAAAGUGCCAACAUUGCACAAGUGUGCCAUGCCAAAGCAUAGUCCUCUCCAAAAAGCAGAAAGUAGGGAAAAGAUGAAGGGAGCAAUGGGCAGAAAAGCUGGUGAUUUGGCAGGUGUGUUUUGAAAUGCCUUUUGUCCAGGCUGGGAAUUUGCUAGGUGUCCAGCAGCGAUUGGUCUGGUUUUUGCCCCCAAACUGUCCAUUCCCUCCCCAAAAGAUGUCCCUUUUGGCCUGCAGAGGUGCAGUCCCAAGGGUAACCACAAGACGGCGACACUGAGCAAAAAGAGACCAGGUCUACCCGUCAAAAAAGGGAGACCAGGUCUACCCGUCAAAAAAAGGAGACCAGGUCUACCCGUCAAAAAAAGGAGACCAGGUCUACCCGUCAAAAAAAGGAGACCAGGUCUACCCAUUGAAAAAAGGAGACCAGGUCUACCCAUAGAAAAAGGAGACCAGGUCUACCCAUUGAAAAAAGGAGACCAGGUCUACCCAUAGAAAAAGGAGACCAGGUCUACCCAUAGAAAAAGGAGACCAGGUCUACCCAUAGAAAAAGGAGACCAGGUCUACCCACCUAGAAAAGGAGAACAGGUCUACCCAUAGGAAAAAGGGAACAGGUCUACCCAUAGAAAAAGGAGACCAGGUCUACCCUUAGAAAAAGGAGACCAGGUCUACCCACCUAGAAAAGGAGAACAGGUCUACCCCUCAAAAAACAGAGCAAUACAUUCAGUCACUUUGCAGUGGGAGUAAAGAACAGCCUCUUAACUGUUGCUCCAUAGGUCUGUUAAGUCACUAGACAACAAAAGAUGGCUCUCAAAAUAUUGCUCUACUAUGCAGUGAAGGGAGGUUUUUCCAGUCCAACUGCUUUAGCCCAGGCUGCACUUUGAUGGCCUCUUGUCCAUCAAGCCAACAGCUCCCUGUCAGCUGGGCCCUUUUUCUUCUCCACUUUGGGAGAAGAGGGGAAAUAGAGAUCAGUAAGGAGAUAGAAGGCACUUCCAUCUUUUUGAAGUUUAAAUUCAACCCUUCUUAAAUUCAAUCUGCUGGAGUCCGUGAGGAGGGAGGAGGGUGCAAGGAGCAGCACAGGAUGAGAGCCCAUGGAGGCUGCAGCAGAGGAGGGUGUGCAGGAGCCAAAGGGCAGCUGAGGCCAUUCCCCAGGGAAUGCCAGAUCCUGACGUCUGUGCCCACUUAGGGAAAAGUGCCAACAUUGCACAAGUGUGCCAUGCCAAAGCAUAGUCCUCUCCAAAAAGCAGAAAGUAGGGAAAAGAUGAAGGGAGCAAUGGGCAGAAAAGCUGGUGAUUUGGCAGGUGUGUUUUGAAAUGCCUUUUGUCCAGGCUGGGAAUUUGCUAGGUGUCCAGCAGCGAUUGGUCUGGUUUUUGCCCCCAAACUGUCCAUUCCCUCCCCAAAAGAUGUCCCUUUUGGCCUGCAGAGGUGCAGUCCCAAGGGUAACCACAAGACGGC